GACGUAGGUGGCGAACGUUAUCCGGAAUUAUUGGGCGUAAAGGAUGCGUAGAUGGUGUAGUAAGUUAUCGGUGGUAAAUCGAGGCUCAACCUCGUGGAAGUCGGUAAUACUGUUAUGCUAGAGGAUAGGAGAGGUUAACGGAACUCCCUGUGGAGCGGUGAAAUGCGUAGAUAUAGGGAAGAACACCGGUGGCGAAGGCGGUGAUCUGGGCCGACACUGACGCUGUAGAGCGAAAGCGUGGGGAGCGAACAGG
rnacentral:rRNA from 1 species